GACGAACGCUGGCGGCGUGCUUAACACAUGCAAGUCGAACGGAAAGGCCCUGCUUUUGUGGGGUGCUCGAGUGGCGAACGGGUGAGUAACACGUGAGUAACCUGCCCUUGACUUUGGGAUAACUUCAGGAAACUGGGGCUAAUACCGGAUAGGAGCUCCUGCUGCAUGGUGGGGGUUGGAAAGUUUCGGCGGUUGGGGAUGGACUCGCGGCUUAUCAGCUUGUUGGUGGGGUAGUGGCUUACCAAGGCUUUGACGGGUAGCCGGCCUGAGAGGGUGACCGGGCACAGUGGGAGAAGAGAACGGACCAGGACCCCACGGGGGGGAAGAAGGGGGAAAUUUGACAAAGGGGGCGGGGGCUGGAUCCGGCAGCGCCGGGGGGGAAGGAGGGGCCUGGGGUUUAAAGCCCGUUUCCGCGGGGGAAGAAGGGGGGGUGCGGGAAGGGGAAAAAGAAGCACGGGCAAGCUCGGUC
rnacentral:rRNA from 1 species